GUGGGGAAUCUUCCACAAUGGACGAAAGUCUGAUGGAGCAACGCCGCGUGAGUGAAGAAGGGUUUCGGCUCGUAAAGCUCUGUUGUCGGGGACGAAUGUGCAGUAUUUGAAUAAAGUACUGCAAUGACGGUACCUGACGAGGAAGCCACGGCUAACUACGUGCCAGCAGCCGCGGUAAUACGUAGGUGGCAAGCGUUGUCCGGAAUUAUUGGGCGUAAAGGGAGCGCAGGCGGGAAGGUAAGUCGGUCUUAAAAGUGCGGGGCUCAACCCCGUGAUGGGAUCGAAACUAUCUUUCUUGAGUGCAGGAGAGGAAAGUGGAAUUCCUAGUGUAGCGGUGAAAUGCGUAGAUAUUAGGAGGAACACCAGUGGCGAAGGCGACUUUCUGGACGAUGUCUGACGCUGAGGCGCGAAAGCUAGGGGAGCGAACGGGAUUAGAAACCCUUGUAGUCC
rnacentral:rRNA from 1 species